AAGCUCCAAUCUUCCCAGAGCGGAGCGCAUUUGUUCGCCACAAAACCAAGCGCCUUCGGGCGUCCAGUGUUGACUCAGAACAACUAAGCUGAUCGCACGAUCCUUACCUGUGAUGUGUCUGUCAAGUGUCUGCCUGGAAAAACUUUUGUUGGAUCACUCUCCUUACUUCCAUGGUGAUGACGGGUAACGGAGGAUAAGGGUUCGACUCCGGAGAAGGGGCCUGAGAAAUGGCAACUACGUCUAAGGAUGGCAGCAGGCCCGCAAAUUACCCACUCUCAACAUGAGGAGGUAGUGACGAGAAAUAACGAGACCGAUCUCUUAUGAGGCCGGUUAUCGGAAUGGGUACAAUUUAAACCCUUUAACGAGGAUCUGUGAGAGGGCAAAUCUGGUGCCAGCAGCCGCGGUAAUUCCAGCUCUCAAAAUGCAUAGAAUUAUUGCUGCGGUUAAAAAGCUCGUAGUUGGAUCUGUGCUAGCCGGCCGGUCCACCCACUGGGUGUGCACUGGUUCGGUUGGCUUUUCUGCCGGUCUCUCCCCGGCGUUGGCCUUCACUGGUCGGCGUCGGUGGGCUGGCGAGUUUACUUUGAACAAAUCAGAGUGCUUCAAACAGGCGUUUCGCUUGAAUGUUCGUGCAUGGAAUAAUAGAAGAGGAUUUCGGUCCGAUUUUAUUGGUUUUGCUGACCGAGAUAAUGGUUAACAGAGACAAACGGGGCCAUUCGUAUUGCUA
rnacentral:rRNA from 1 species